GGCGGCGAUUAGGGCGGCGGAGGCGGGGACGGUUCCCUGGAACCACGGGCGGUGCCUAGGUUGUGACGGCAGCGGUCAGGGCGGCGGUACGGCGGAGGCGGGGACGGUUCCCCGGAACCACGGGCGGUGCCUACUAGGUUGUGACGGGCGGCGGGACGGCGGCGGUCACGGCGGUGGGACGGCGGAGGCGGGGACGGUUCCCCGGAACCACGGGCGGUGCCUACUAGGUUGUGACGGGCGGCGGGACGGUGGCGGUCACGGCGGCGGGACGGCGGAGGCGGGGACGGUUCCCCGGAACCACGGGCGGUGCCUACUAGGUUGUGACGGGCGGCGGGACGGCGGCGGUCAUGGCGGCGGGACGGCGGAGGCAGGGACGGUUCCCCGAAACCACGGGCGGUGCCUACUAGGUUGUGACGGGCGGCGGGACGGCGGCGGUCACGGCGGCGGGACGGCGGAGGGGACGGCGGUGCAUCCUACGAAUUUCUAACUUUAUUUUCUAACUU
rnacentral:lncRNA from 1 species